rnacentral:rRNA from 1 species
UACGAAGGGGGCUAGCGUUGCUCGGAAUCACUGGGCGUAAAGCGCACGUAGGCGGAUUGCAUAAGUCAGGGUGAAAUCCUGGAGCUCAACUCCAGAACUGCCUUUGAUACUGGCGAUCUCGAGUCCGGGAGAGGUGAGUGGAACUGCGAGUGUAGAGGUGAAAUUCGUAGAUAUUCGCAAGAACACCAGUGGCGAAGGCGGCUCACUGGCCCGGUACUGACGCUGAGGUGCGAAAGCGUGGGGAGCAAACAGG